AGAGUUUGAUCCUGGCUCAGGGUGAACGCUGGCGGCGCGCCUAACACAUGCAAGUCGUGCGAGGGCUCAUCUCCCGCAAGGGAGGCGGGUUCCUAGCGGCAAACGGGUGAGUAACACGUGGGCAACCUGCCUCGUCGUGGGGAAUAACUCCGGGAAACCGGGGCUAAUGCCGCAUGUCGUCACCGGAGGCAUCUCCGGUG
rnacentral:rRNA from 1 species